GUUGAUGCUUGAAAGGUUUCAGGUUUUGGAGCAUUUUGGAUUUCUGCAUGAUGAAGGUUCAGCUUAUAUAAUACCACCAGUUACAAGCAGAUGCUCAUCCUGGAUUACCUGGAUAGCGUGAAUUCCAUCCCUCGGCCCAGAUGAGGGAAGACUGGUGGAUGUGAAUUUCAGGCGUCUUAGAAAUGGAAGUGACUAGAGGAGUGGGAACUGACAGGUAGGUGGGGAAAAGUGUGGUUUUAAACUCCUGGAUUUAAUGAUUUCUCUUGACUGCAACAUGGUCUUGAGCCUCAAGUGUAACCCUAGGAUGUGUGAUGUGGUUAUCACACCCUUCAGUCCAGAGGAGGAGUAGGGAAAGGCACGUGCUCCCAUUUUGCAGAGAUAGAAAUGGAAGCCUAGAAGAACUCUGAAACCCAGGGUGGGUCCUCUCUCCUGUCUUUCCAACAGGAGAGAAGAUGAACUCUCACGAGAGGAGAGCAGGUAGGUC
rnacentral:lncRNA from 1 species